UACGUAGGGACCAAGCGUUGUUCGGAUUUACUGGGCGUAAAGGGCGUGUAGGCGGUCAGGUAAGUGAGAUGUGAAAUGCCCCGGCUCACCCGGGGACCGGCAUCUCAUACUGCUUGGCUUGAGUACGGGAGAGGAUGUGGGAAUUCCUGGUGUAGCGGUGAAAUGCGUAGAGAUCAGGAGGAACACCGGUGGCGAAGGCGCACAUCUGGCCCGAUACUGACGCUGAGGCGCGAAAGCUAGGGGAGCAAACGGG
rnacentral:rRNA from 1 species